rnacentral:rRNA from 1 species
CAGUCGCCGCGGUAAUACGGAGGGUGCAAGCGUUAAUCGGAAUUACUGGGCGUAAAGCGUGCGUAGGCGGUUCGUUAAGUCUGUUGUGAAAUCCCCGGGCUCAACCUGGGAAUGGCAAUGGAUACUGGCGAGCUAGAGUGUGUCAGAGGAUGGUGGAAUUCCCGGUGUAGCGGUGAAAUGCGUAGAGAUCGGGAGGAACAUCAGUGGCGAAGGCGGCCAUCUGGGACAACACUGACGCUGAGGCACGAAAGCGUGGGGAGCAAACAGGAUUAGAUACCCCCGUAGUCCCUGUCUCUUAUAC